UUAAAAACGGUAUUGAAACAGUCGCUACGACACGACUAGCCUGGGAAAACAAACACCCAUGGCAUCCCUCGUAUAGAGGUCACUACAUCCACCAAAGGAGAGCGAGGGCGAUGUGGUUGGCACCCAUUUUUGACCAUUAAGAUAGCUGUAAGGGAGUCUCCUUCAAUUAUAACCUUCCUGCCACCGUGAGACCAUGCUAUCUCCAAUUACGCAAGAGAAAGCUGUAUUGUAUUAUAAAACUUUUCAAACAAUGCUCUCUCUGGUGAAAAUCCCAUCAUACACAGGGAACCUGAAAUACAUGGAUUCUUUGCUUGGAGAAAUUCCACUACAUCUAUCAUGUUUGUCAUUCCUUUCGCAUCUGAACCUCUCCUUCAGUCAUCUGCUUGUCGAAGAUCCCAACAGGUAGAAGAUCUCCAAAGACCUAGCUUAGCUAGGCAUUCUUCAAAGACUUGGAUUAUCAAGCACUCAAGGACCUAGAUUAUCAGGCACUCAAAGACAUAGUUUUGUUAGGCACCCAAAGACCUUGAUUAUCGAGCAACAAAGACUUGGCCUUGUUAGGCAUUGUUUAUUGAAUAUGUAUGUUAUUGACAAUCACUACAAGAAAACCGGGAUACAAAGGCGGUGUUUUGAUGGCUGUUUUUGAAGCCGACCCUAAAUCAAGCAAUUAAAGCGCCCCUAAGCUAUUUAUUAAGUCUUUUCUCUCUCUUUUGACGAUAGUAAAUAUCCCAUUAGCGCAUCGAAUAUGUUUUUCCUUUUUAGCAACAAACGCAUAUCAGUUGCUAUUUCUGACUGGCCACUCUUUAUUUCUCUUCUUCACAUUCUUAGCCAAACCCCAACCCUAAUCCUACCUUUUCCUCUACCAAUCCCAAAUCUUUAAUUUCCAUUCCACAAUGCUUCCCCAAUCUCAAACUCAAACCCCUUCUUCGGAAUCUCCCAUAUCGCUCCUCCGAGUCUCAUUCAAUCCAUACCAUUCCUGCUUCGCAGCCGCAAUCGACGCCAUCUUUCGCAUCUACAACUGCGACCCCUUCCGGGAGCUCUUCCGUCGCGACUUCGCCGGCGGAGAAACCGGCCACGUCGAGAUGCUCUUCCACAGCAACAUAAUGUGGCUCGUCGAUGGCGAACUUCAAGCUAGUGCAAACAACGAGGUUGAGAUAUGGGGAAGUACACGCUUCUAACAGGCGUUGCCCAUGUUCACUUUCGCAAACCAGGCAGGGCUUUACAUGCUGGAGACUACCUUAGUUGCUCUACAAGACAUAAAGUUAGAGAAAAUAUUUGACGAUCAUGGAAGACUUGGAUUUCUUGUUUCAUAUGUUUUUCCUUGCUCGGUGCUGCAAGCUUCUAGAGGAGAACUCGUUCUGGGGGAGGACUGCCGAUUUCUUUUACAUGCUCUUAUUUGGUGCCACUGUAUUGACUGGAAUUUUCUUCUUGGGGGGAUGAUAUAUGAUGGUUUAUGUGUGGAGCAAACGAAAUCCCUUUAUUCAUAUGAGCUUCCUUGGCCUCUUUACUUUCACUGCUGCCUACCUUCCAUGGGUGCGUAAGAUCUAUGGUUGUUAUCUGUCUGAUUGGAAAAUAAUAUUAACCCGUUUGAGGCAUUAAAUACUUGUGUAUAAGACAGUUGCUUGAAUAUCUACUAGUUAUUUGGGCACAUGUUAUCUUGUGUUCAACCUUUUUUUGCCCUGGAGCAGCUUUCAGGGAAGUUCAACCUUGAGGGAAAUAUUGAAUUGCAGGUAUAUGGCUGGCCCAAAAUAUUGAAUUGCAGGUAUAUGGCUGGCCCAAAAUAUUGAAUUGUAUACGUGAAUGAUAAAUGAGAUUGUAGUAAUCUCUUAGCUAAUGGAUGCAAGUAUUCAAUGGAGCAGGUUGGUGUUAGUUCUUCCGCACCAGGUGCUGCAUUACAAGUAGAUAUUCAGGCUUCAAAUUGUAGUGGUUCUUUGCUUUUUACAUUAGGGAGUUGUACUUGAUACCCAAGAAUAUGUUGUAAUUUGAAGGAGAUUUAUUUUCCCCCUUAUACUUUUUUAAUGUUUCCAGGAAGUGGGUACUCCCUUCUCGUUGCUCAGAUGGAACCAAAAAUUAUAAGAACAGAGCUCUUAGAACUCUUAUUUGUGAAAUCUGGCUCAGGAUCCUUCCUUAAAAUCGAAAUUGAUGAUCCUGCUGCACAAGCCAUUGAGUUCCUUAUACUUUAUGAAGCUCAGAAUAAGUGGUUAUGGGUGAAGGAGAGGAACAUAGAGUCGUUAAAAUUGCUGACUUUGGACUUGCAAGGAUAUAUCACGCUCCUUUGAAGCCAUUAUCUGAAAAUGGGGUAUGACUGUAUGAUGAGGAAUCAUUUUCAUUGUUAUCCACCUGUAUUAUAUCCAUCAUUUUCAUGCAUAUUUUUAUACAUAAAUAUGGUAUUCUUUUAAAUUAAGAAACCAAAGCUUGGGUAAGCAUAUAUUUUUAAUUUGACCAAACUUAUUCAAGUCAUAUUUGGGAACUUGUCUUGGACAAAUGGGAAGCACAGAGUAACCAGUCUUAUUGUAGUCCUGUAACUUCAGAAAUUACUGAGAGGAAUGUUAUGCUAUCAUAACCAUUUUAGUAUGUGUUUGUGUUUGUUGUUGUCAGGCUAUAAUGAUAAUAAUGUGUUUUUUACCAUUGCAAUGUCGCUGUAUUGAACUUCCUUACAUUGGAGCUAUAUACUGUAAUAGGGACACUGAAUCAUGUAAGGAACGCAUAUGCAAGAUCCUUCUAAAUAAUAUUAAUUAGUAUUAUGCCCUUAUUCACCAUUCUACCUUCACCAUUGUUUUUUCCUCUUUCUAUUUGUUCUUUCAUUUCCUUCAAUUAUGUCCCUCUAAUUUACGAGCCAUGCAACUGAAUUCCCAUAGCCAACUGUAAUUGAAUUGCUCUGUUAUUUUUUUAAGAAUGAAUGAAUUUAGUUGAAAGGGAAUCACAAUAAUCAAUUGUACAAUUUUCGUAACCUAAACUCCUAACUUAGUUUUGUUGUGAUUUAGUUGCUUUUAUAUUGUCAUCUUGCAAGUAUCAUUUUUCAAAACUAAAGGAAGUGAAGUGGUAUUGCUUUCAGUUACAAUGAUUUUUAUGAUCUAUCAACAUGGACCUUCUAAGAAUUCCCCUUUAUUAGAAACAAACCUAAACAUUAGUAUCACAGUUGGUCACUCUCUACUGUAUAUAAAUUGUUCAAUCACAAUAGCUUAACAGUGAUUCAGCGCAUCUUUGUGAAGUAUUUUGCAGGGACUGCAAUCUUAUUUUGCAGAUCUUAACCUCCUUCUAGCCAAUGAUAGUUAAAAAAUAAAAUAAAAAAAGUUUGCACAUUUUUGUUGAGAGAUCAUAAAGAAAACAAGACCAUCCUUUACUAAAGAAUCGUAAGUUGUAGGUAUACACUCAAUUGGAAUACCCUUUAAUGUGGUUAAUUUUUAGUCUUUUUUUAUUAUAUUUUAUUUUUUAAUGUUUGUUUUUUCUUUCAUUAAUUGUAAAGAAAACCUAGCUUUCAAAAAUCAAUCCGGAAAACAAGCUUGAAUAAUUCACCAGCUAAAGCUAAACACAUAUUUGGGCUUGAGAAAGAUCAGGGUCCAACAAGAACAGUUCCUGUUGGGAGGACAACAAAAGAUGAUCUCAUUCGAGCUAAAUCAUUAUUAAAUAAUCACAUCUUGGCUCAACACAGCCCUGGUACUCAUUAGAUAUGGAACCACCCUGGGAUCUUACAAUUGACAAAAGAAGACAAGGACUAUGCAAGACAUGAAGAUGCUGUUGAGAAUUUUCUUGCGGAUGAUAGCUCCAGUGAUGAAAAUUCUGGUUUUAUUGUGCUUGCUAGGGGUAGUCUUCAUGUAUAUGGAUCCAUAGGCGCCUACACUUGUAUGCUUCCAAUAGUACUGAUUACUUAUUAAUUGAUUGAAAGCUUCCUCUCUAUGCUGUGAGUGGUUU